rnacentral:rRNA from 1 species
UACGUAGGGGGCGAGCGUUGUCCGGAUUUACUGGGCGUAAAGCGCGUGUAGGCGGCAUGACAAGUCGGGUGUGAAAGCCCUGGGCUCAACCCAGGAAGUGCACUCGAUACUGUCGUGCUAGAGUCCCGGAGAGGGUGGUGGAACUCUCGGUGUAGAGGUGAAAUUCGUAGAUAUCGAGAAGAACACCGGUGGCGAAGGCGGCCACCUGGACGGUGAUUGACGCUGAGACGCGAAAGCGUGGGGAGCAAACAGG